AUGCCGAGGCCUGGGGCUCGAGGGGAUCGCCGUGUCCCCUGCAUUCCUCAGGGUGGGGGCCGUCACCUCCUUGGGACUGUCUCCAGGGGCCUCUUGCCUCCUCCAGGGCCGAGGACUUCUCCCCACCCCGCCGAGGGACCGGCGGGCACAGAAACGGUCCUGGUCUUUGAUUCCCCACGUGGCGGACCGGAGGCGGUCUGUGGGCCCCCCACCCCGCUGACCUGGCCUGGAACAUGGGGGUUCGGAUGCAGGAGUCCCCGAGAGGAAGGGGCUGGGCCGAGACACGGGCCAUCUGCUCCAGGACGGGAGGAGGGCCUUUCCAGAGCCCGCGGCCAGGCGCGCUUGGGUCCCGGAGCCCCUCGGCCCCUCUUGGAGAGCAGGGCCCCGAGGCCUCCGACCCGCUGCCUCUGCCUGACGUGCCACCCCCGGAGCCAGACUCCUCUGCCGUCAGCGGCGCACCCCGGGCUCUGGCCCUGCUGGAGGCCAGCCUGUCUGCACGGGAGCUGCGAUCACAGCCAGGAUGGGAUGAAAAUAGGAAGUGGUCUCCUGCGCCAGGCGGUGCCGCCUGCCGUUCUUCCCGGGCGUGGGGGUGGCCGCUCCUGAAGCGCCUGAGUCACCCGCCAACGGCUGCUGGGAACCCAGCAUCCAGCCUCUGGGAAACACUGUGGCCUCUCUGGCUGGACGUCCAAGGCCCAUGCACAGGUCCCGCUCCAGCCCGGGCUCCCAGCCGGGCUGCGGCAGCCUCCUGACCCUUCCCUCUGACCGGGGACCCGUCAGGGCCCUGACUCCGCUGAAGGGGUCUGCUCCUUGUUCCAAUUCAUCCCCGCAGGACCCCUGCCAGGCCGGCCUAGGUUACAGAUGAGGAAGCCAAGGCCCGGAGAGCUGCUCAGGGCCCCACAGCCAAUAACUGGCAGUGCCAGGGCUGGAGCUUAGGACGGUUUCAGCCAAGGAUCCAACGCUGAGGAGGGUGAGGCCCGGCCCCGAGAGGCCAUCCUGGAGCCAAGACUCAAAUGACGGGAAGGAGCCGACCAAGGCAAUAUGGGGUGCGGGUGUGUGUGUGCCAGGAGGGGGAAUAGCCAGUGCAGAGGCCCUGUGGCGGGGACAGGUUUGGAGCGUCUGAGGAACAGACCGGAGCCAGGGAACAGUGGUUCCAAGGUGUGGGCAGCAGCAACCAGAUGAUCUGAGUCAUCCGAGUCCUCAGAUCUACGUGGGGUGGGUGUCUGUCCUUAGGCCCAUGUUGCCCCUCCCAGCUGCCGUCUGGGAGGAUGUGCUGGACCUUAGCAUGCCCUAGGCCUGGGACCUCCCCCCACGUCUUCCCAGAGGACAGGCUGGGGACAAGAGGAAGUGCUGACAGCUGGGCUAGGCCAUCACGGGUGGCUGACCCAUGACCCUCUGUGCCCCAGGCCGACCCGUGGCUCAGGCACCGAGGUGGGAGCGCCCCAGGGCGGUCCUGGGGCAGUGGCGCUGGCGCUCUGGCUCCACGAGGCCUUUCUCCGCAGGGGCUGCCGCAGUGUGGGUGCUCCCCGCCCCGCCCGCGGUGCCGAGCCCUGCACACUUCCUGCCGGCCCACCGGGGAGAGCGAGCCGCAGCAGCUUGCGUGGGAAGCACAGGCAAGUUUCCACGGAUCCCGGGUGGGUGUCUCAUUGCCAAAGGGAACGUGGAAGUCCAGAUAGAAAUCAUCCAAGACGGCCCGUCGGGGAGUUCACAGGGAGAGGAGUCGUCUCUGGUGAGGGGUUGGGACAAACACCAAAGAGUGGAGUCUAAAGAAUGCGUCACUCGAGAAGGGAGAAGGUGUGGCUCUCCCCAGAAGACAGCUGGGCUCCAGGGUUGAGAGGGGUCAGGGCUAUCUGUUGACCCCAUCCUCAUGACCUCGUCAGAUCCCAGACGCACAGCUGCCUUCUCCCGGGGCUGCUCUGGCCGCUCGAUGGUGUUCUCUGGACUGUCCCUCAGUCUCUGACCUUGGCUUUCACCACUUUCCUGUCUGAGGAAGUUGAAGCCGCCCUCCGAAAAAAAAAAAAAAAAAAAAAAAAAAAACCAGACCCUCCUCCCCACUCUGCACCACCACCCGUGGCUUGGCAUGAAGACCGUCGGUUCUACGCAACCUGAUGGACGCAACCUUCUCACCCCGGAUCCUGCGUCGAGCCCACUUCUUUCUACCCGAUUCUUUAUUGCUGCUCUAGUUUAGUGGAGUAGCGGGGUUCUUGGUGGAAAGUCAUUUCCCCGAGCAACUGGAAGACGUAGUUCUCUAGGUUUCUGGCAUCCAUCGCUGCCGAUGAGAAGUCUGUUGUCGGUCUACAUGUCACUCCUUUGGCCUAAUCCCGCAUUUCUUCCUCAUCCAUAAGCAUAGCUCAUUUUAUCGUGCAUUUACUGCACUUUGAAGAUAACCGUGGGUUUUUGUUUGUUUUGUUUUUUAGAUUUAUUUAUUUAUUUAUUUAUUUAUUUAUUUAUAUUUAUUUUUUUAAUUUUGUUUUUUAAUACAUCGAAGGUUUGUGGCAACCCUGCAUGGAGCGAGUCUGUUGCUGCGUUUUUUCCAACAACAGCAUUUGCUCAACUUUUUUUUGUUUUGUUUUGUUUUUUAAAGAUUUUAUUUAUUUAUUCAUGAGAGACACAGAGAGAGGAGCAGAGACAGGCAGAGGGAGAAGCAGGCUCCAUGCAGGGAGCCCGAUGCGGGACUCGAUCCCGGAUCCAGGGGUCACGCCCUGAGCCCAAAGCAGAUGCUCACCCCCUGAGCCACCCAGGCCUCCCGCAUUUGCUCACCGUGUAUCUUCAUGUCACAUUCUGGUAAUUGCUGCUAUGUUUCAAGCUUUUUCAUUAUUAUAUUUGUUACGGUGAUCAACGAUUACGACUUGCUGAAAGUUCCGAUGAUGGUACCUGUUUUUUAGCAAUAAAGUAUUUUCAUAAUUAAGAUAUGUGCA
rnacentral:lncRNA from 12 species